UACGUAGGGGGCAAGCGUUGUCCGGAUUCAUUGGGCGUAAAGAGCGUGUAGGCGGCCAGGUAGGUCGGUUGUGAAAACUGGAGGCUCAACCUUCAGAGGUCGACCGAAACCAUCUGGCUAGAGUCCGGGAGAGGAGAGUGGAAUUCCUGGUGUAGCGGUGAAAUGCGCAGAUAUCAGGAGGAACACCAAUGGCGAAGGCAGCUCGCUGGGACGUGACUGACGCUGAGACGCGAAAGCUAGGGGAGCAAACGGG
rnacentral:rRNA from 1 species